rnacentral:rRNA from 1 species
GACGAACGCUGGCGGCGUGCCUAAUACAUGCAAGUCGAGCGAAACUUAGAAAGCUUGCUUUCUAAGUUUAGCGGCGGACGGGUUAGUAACGCGUGGGAACGUGCCCUUCUCUGCGGAAUAGCCACUGGAAACGGUGAGUAAUACCGCAUACGCCCUUCGGGGGAAAGAUUUAUCGGAGAAGGAUCGGCCCGCGUUAGAUUAGAUAGUUGGUGGGUAACGGCCUACCAAGUCUACGAUCUAUAGCUGGUUUUAGAGGAUGAUCAGCAACACUGGGACUGAGACACGGCCCAGACUCCUACGGGAGGCAGCAGUGGGGAAUCUUAGACAAUGGGCGCAAGCCUGAUCUAGCCAUGCCGCGUGUGUGAUGAAGGUCUUAGGAUCGUAAAGCACUUUCGCCAGGGAUGAUAAUGACAGUACCUGGUAAAGAAACCCCGGCUAACUCCGUG